GACGAACGCUGGCGGCGUGCCUAAUACAUGCAAGUAGAACGCUGAAGCUUGGUGCUUGCACCGAGCGGAUGAGUUGCGAACGGGUGAGUAACGCGUAGGUAACCUGCCUGGUAGCGGGGGAUAACUAUUGGAAACGAUAGCUAAUACCGCAUAACAGUAGAUAUCGCAUGAUAGCUACUUGAAAGGUGCAAAUGCACCACUACCAGAUGGACCUGCGUUGUAUUAGCUAGUUGGUGAGGUAACGGCUCACCAAGGCAACGAUACAUAGCCGACCUGAGAGGGUGAUCGGCCACACUGGGACUGAGACACGGCCCAGACUCCUACGGGAGGCAGCAGUAGGGAAUCUUCGGUAAUGGACGGAAGUCUGACCGAGCAACGCCGCGUGAGUGAAGAAGGUUUUCGGAUCGUAAAGCUCUGUUGUAAGAGAAGAACGAGUGUGAGAGUGGAAAGUUCACACUGUGACGGUAUCUUACCAGAAAGGGACGGCUAACUACGUG
rnacentral:rRNA from 1 species